AAUUGCUAGUAAUGGCAGGUCAGCAUACUGCCGUGAAUACGUUCCCGGGCCCUUGUACACACCGCCCGUCACACCAUGAGAGUUGGGAAUACCCGAAGCCUGUGAGCUAACGAAAGAGGCAGCAGUCGAAGGUAGAAUCAAUGAUUGGGGUGAAGUCGUAACAAGGUACC
rnacentral:rRNA from 1 species